rnacentral:rRNA from 1 species
CGGCGAGUGAAGCGGCAACAGCUCAAAUUUGAAAUCUGGCUUCGGCCCGAGUUGUAAUUUGUAGAGGAUGCUUUUGGUGAGGUGCCUUCUGAGUUCCCUGGAACGGGACGCCAGAGAGGGUGAGAGCCCCGUAUAGUCGGCCACCGAUCCUCUGUAAAGCUCCUUCGACGAGUCGAGUAGUUUGGGAAUGCUGCUCAAAAUGGGAGGUAUAUCUCUUCUAAAGCUAAAUAUAGGCCAGAGACCGAUAGCGCACAAGUAGAGUGAUCGAAAGAUGAAAAGCACUUUGAAAAGAGGGUUAAAUAGCACGUGAAAUUGUUGAAAGGGAAGCGCUUGUGACCAGACUUGUGCCGGGCUGAUCAUCCAGUGUUCUCACUGGUGCACUCGACCCGGCUCAGGCCAGCGUCGGUUUUCGCGGGGGGAUAAAAGCUUCGGGAACGUGGCACCUCCGGGUGUGUUAUAGCCCGUUGCUUAAUACCCCCGUGGAGACCGAGGUUCGCGCUCUGCAAGGACGCUGGCAUAAUGGUCAUCAGCGAC